rnacentral:tRNA from 1 species
UCAAAUUAAACUGAAUCGCACAGUUAAAUUUUCAGUGUAAAUGAAAUGCUUUCUAAUCAAGCUCUAAUUUG